rnacentral:rRNA from 1 species
GUGCACCAGUCGCGAAAACUCCGCAAUACGCGAAAGCGUGACGGGGCCAUCCCGAGUGCCGACCGCUGAGGUUGGCUUUUACCCAGUCUAGAAAGCUGGGGGAAUAAGGAGAGGGCAAGUCUGGUGUCAGCCGCCGCGGUAAUACCAGCUCUCCGAGUGGUGUGGACGUUUAUUGGGCCUAAAGCAUCCGUAGCUGGCUGAACAAGUCCCCUGUUAAACCCACCGAUUUAAUCGUUGGCUUGCGGGGGAUACUGCUCGGCUAGGGGACGAGAGAGGCAGACGGUAUUCCCGGGGUAGGGGUGAAAUACUAUAAGCCCGAGAAGACCACCAGUGGCGAAGGCUGUCUGCUAGAACGCGCCCGACGGUGAGGGAUGAAAGCUGGGGGAGCGAACCGGAUUAGAUAACCGGGUAGUCC